rnacentral:rRNA from 1 species
GAUGAACGCUGGCGGCGUGCCUAAUACAUGCAAGUCGAGCGAACGGACGAGAAGCUUGCUUCUCUGAUGUUAGCGGCGGACGGGUGAGUAACACGUGGAUAACCUACCUAUAAGACUGGGAUAACUUCGGGAAACCGGAGCUAAUACCGGAUAAUAUUUUGAACCGCAUGGUUCAAAAGUGAAAGACGGUCUUGCUGUCACUUAUAGAUGGAUCCGCGCUGCAUUAGCUAGUUGGUAAGGUAACGGCUUACCAAGGCAACGAUGCAUAGCCGACCUGAGAGGGUGAUCGGCCACACUGGAACUGAGACACGGUCCAGACUCCUACGGGAGGCAGCAGUAGGGAAUCUUCCGCAAUGGGCGAAAGCCUGACGGAGCAACGCCGCGUGAGUGAUGAAGGUCUUCGGAUCGUAAAACUCUGUUAUUAGGGAAGAACAUAUGUGUAAGUAACUGUGCACAUCUUGACGGUACCUAAUCAGAAAGCCACGGCUAACUACGUGCCAGCAGCCGCGGUAAUACGUAGGUGGCAAGCGUUAUCCGGAAUUAUUGGGCGUAAAGCGCGCGUAGGCGGUUUUUUAAGUCUGAUGUGAAAGCCCACGGCUCAACCGUGGAGGGUCAUUGGAAACUGGAAAACUUGAGUGCAGAAGAGGAAAGUGGAAUUCCAUGUGUAGCGGUGAAAUGCGCAGAGAUAUGGAGGAACACCAGUGGCGAAGGCGACUUUCUGGUCUGUAACUGACGCUGAUGUGCGAAAGCGUGGGGAUCAAACAGGAUUAGAUACCCUGGUAGUCCACGCCGUAAACGAUGAGUGCUAAGUGUUAGGGGGUUUCCGCCCCUUAGUGCUGCAGCUAACGCAUUAAGCACUCCGCCUGGGGAGUACGACCGCAAGGUUGAAACUCAAAGGAAUUGACGGGGACCCGCACAAGCGGUGGAGCAUGUGGUUUAAUUCGAAGCAACGCGAAGAACCUUACCAAAUCUUGACAUCCUUUGACAACUCUAGAGAUAGAGCCUUCCCCUUCGGGGGACAAAGUGACAGGUGGUGCAUGGUUGUCGUCAGCUAGUGUCGUGAGAUGUUGGGUUAAGUCCCGCAACGAGCGCAACCCUUAAGCUUAGUUGCCAUCAUUAAGUUGGGCACUCUAAGUUGACUGCCGGUGACAAACCGGAGGAAGGUGGGGAUGACGUCAAAUCAUCAUGCCCCUUAUGAUUUGGGCUACACACGUGCUACAAUGGACAAUACAAAGGGCAGCGAAACCGCGAGGUCAAGCAAAUCCCAUAAAGUUGUUCUCAGUUCGGAUUGUAGUCUGCAACUCGACUACAUGAAGCUGGAAUCGCUAGUAAUCGUAGAUCAGCAUGCUACGGUGAAUACGUUCCCGGGUCU